rnacentral:rRNA from 1 species
UACGUAGGGGGCAAGCGUUGUCCGGAAUCAUUGGGCGUAAAGAGCGUGUAGGCGGUUCGGUAAGUCGGCUGUGAAAGUCCAGGGCUCAACCCUGGGAUGCCGGUCGAUACUGUCGGGCUAGAGUUCGGAAGAGGCGAGUGGAAUUCCCGGUGUAGCGGUGAAAUGCGCAGAUAUCGGGAGGAACACCUAUGGCGAAGGCAGCUCGCUGGGACGUUACUGACGCUGAGACGCGAAAGCGUGGGGAGCAAACAGG